ensembl:snoRNA
AGCCAGUGAUGCUUCAAAGAGUAGUGGACAGGUGUGAUUUCUGACAGCUUGUAAAACUGAGGCU